rnacentral:rRNA from 1 species
AGCCAUGCCGCGUGUGUGAAGAAGGCCUUCGGGUUGUAAAGCACUUUCAGUUGUGAGGAAAAGUUAGUAGUUAAUACCUGCUAGCCGUGACGUUAACAACAGAAGAAGCACCGGCUAACUCCGUGCCAGCAGCCGCGGUAAUACGGAGGGUGCGAGCGUUAAUCGGAAUUACUGGGCGUAAAGCGCACGCAGGCGGUUUGUUAAGCUAGAUGUGAAAGCCCCGGGCUCAACCUGGGAUGGUCAUUUAGAACUGGCAGACUAGAGUCUUGGAGAGGGGAGUGGAAUUCCAGGUGUAGCGGUGAAAUGCGUAGAUAUCUGGAGGAACAUCAGUGGCGAAGGCGACUCCCUGGCCAAAGACUGACGCUCAUGUGCGAAAGUGUGGGUAGCGAACAGGAUUAGAUACCCUGGUAGUCCACACCGUAAACGCUGUCUACUAGCUGUGUGUGCCUUUAAGGCGUGCGUAGCGAAGCUAACGCGCUAAGUAGACCGCCUGGGGAGUACGGCCGCAAGGUUAAAACUCAAAUGAAUUGACGGGGGCCCGCACAAGCGGUGGAGCAUGUGGUUUAAUUCGAUGCAACGCGAAGAACCUUACCUACACUUGACAUGCUGAGAAGUUACUAGAGAUAGUUUCGUGCCUUCGGGAACUCAGACACAGGUGCUGCAUGGCUGUCGUCAGCUCGUGUCGUGAGAUGUUGGGUUAAGUCCCGCAACGAGCGCAACCCUUGUCCUUAGUUGCCAGCCUUAAGUUGGGCACUCUAAGGAGACUGCCGGUGACAAACC